rnacentral:rRNA from 1 species
AUUGAACGCUGGCGGCAUGCCUUACACAUGCAAGUCGAACGGCAGCACGGGGGCAACCCUGGUGGCGAGUGGCGAACGGGUGAGUAACAUAUCGGAACAUACCCUAGAGUGGGGGAUAACGUAGCGAAAGUUACGCUAAUACCGCAUACGAUCUAAGGAUGAAAGUGGGGGAUCUUCGGACCUCAUGCUCAUGGAGUGGCCGAUAUCUGAUUAGCUAGUUGGUGAGGUAAAGGCUCACCAAGGCGACGAUCAGUAGCUGGUUUGAGAGAACGACCAGCCACACUGGAACUGAGACACGGUCCAGACUCCUACGGGAGGCAGCAGUGGGGAAUAUUGCGCAAUGGGCGAAAGCCUGACGCAGCGACGCCGCGU